rnacentral:rRNA from 1 species
CGGGUGAGUAACACGUGGAUAACCUACCUAUAAGACUGGGAUAACUUCGGUAAACCGGAGCUAAUACCGGAUAAUAUUUUGAACCGCAUGGUUCAAAAGUGAAAGACGGUCUUGCUGUCACUUAUAGAUGGAUCCGCGCUGCAUUAGCUAGUUGGUAAGGUAACGGCUUACCAAGGCAACGAUGCAUAGCCUAUCUGAGAGGGUGAUCGGCCACACUGGAACUGAGACACGGUCCAG